UUAAGUUCAGCGGGUAUCCCUACCUGAUCCGAGGUCAACCGUGAGAUGGAGGGUUAUGGCAAGCAAGCGCCAGACCCAAAAGCGAGAAAGUUACUACGCUUAGAGCCAGGCGGCACCGCCACUGAUUUUAAGGGCCGCGGGACCGCGAACCCCAACACCAAGCCAGGCUUGAUUGGUUAUAAUGACGCUCGAACAGGCAU
rnacentral:misc_RNA from 1 species